rnacentral:rRNA from 1 species
UACAGAGGGUGCAAGCGUUGUUCGGAAUUACUGGGCGUAAAGGGCGCGUAGGCGGUCUUGUAAGUCUUGUGUGAAAUCCCUCGGCUUAACUGAGGAACUGCACGGGAUACUGCGAGACUUGAGUUCGGGAGAGGGAAGCGGAAUUCCGGGUGUAGCGGUGAAAUGCGGAGAUAUCCGGAGGAACACCGGUGGGGAAGGCGGGGUCCUGGGCCGAUUACUGACGCUGAGGCGCGAAAGCGAGGGGAGCAAACGGG